UUCAUGUCAUGUCGUUUCUGCUGGGGGUGUUUUUGGUUUUUCCUUUUUUUAGUGAUGACUUAUCAGUUCUUGAGAGCCUUCAUCGCAAGGACUUUUCUUGAGGCUGGGUCUUGAAUUUCCAAUUAGCUCUUUAUUUCUUAUUUUCUUUUGCUUUCAAGUCUCGGCAUCACUCUUUGGCCAUUUGUUGCUACGUCAUCAGUGCACGAAGUCUUUUUUUUUUUCUUCUUCCAUUGGUUCUUCUCUUAUCCUUGGGUUAAUUUCCCAUGCUUUCACAUAUUUUUAUGGGUUGGAGUAGACAGAUUCAUUUGCAUUUUGUCGUGGUUUUCUUUCAUGCCUCUUUCUUUGGUUUUCUUUUUUUUGCUUUCUUUUCUGUUCAUAUGGUUUUCUACCAUUGGUGCUCAUUUUUGUAGAGCUCCUCUUCCUUUAGUUUGAUUUACAUGCUUUUGUUUUUUAUUUUUUUCUGUUGAUUUCAUUGAGUUUAUCUUCCUGAUUUUUUAGUUUCUUUUCUUUUAAUGUCGGUUUGUGUUGGUUAUCAUCACUAUCUCUGCACGAUCUUUUUUCAGUUGGUUUGCUGGAGCUUUUCAUUCCUUAGUGGAUGUUCUUCUUUCCCAGAGGUGUCAGCACUUCAGGUCAUUCUGCAGUCUACUAGCUUGGAUCUCGGGUGGAAGGAUAACUCACCGAUAAUAUGGGAACCUAUUGAUUUUUUUAGAGGGCUUUCAGACAUUAAUUUGAGGUUAAUUAGUCUUACUUCGGGUGACUUAUUGGAUCUUAAAACAUUGGAUUUUUGCACAGCACAUCACUUGCUGGAGAGAUACAGAACUUGGAAAGCCUUCAACAUCUCGAGAAAUCGUAUGCACGCAUCACUUGCUAGCAUCAAUUUUCAACUGAAAACAAAAUCCUGAGUAGCUUAUGUUGUUCUUAGUAAUGAUAUGGAAGAAAAAGAGGUCUAACUUCCAUAAUUUUGGUUAAUAUGCUGCCUAUUAGAUGGUAGACUAACCAAUCCUGCUGGUGAACCUGUUAUUAAGAGUGUUAGGACUAAAGAAGAAGGGAGAGACAAUGGGGAGGCUCUUCUUUCUCCUUUAUAAAUUUUAGCUACUGUUUCCAAUGAAAAAGCCAUAGGUAGUAUCCAGCUUUCUUAUGCAAAAAAAUCUGUUGAUUCUUUAGCGUUCAUGAGAUGUCAUGUGAUAUGUGAUGGCGACAAAUUCUGCUAGUCCUAGUGGAGUUGUAGGCUUUGUAUAUUUAUAUUUCAUAUAUUCUUGAGAAAUUCCUUGCUCUUAUAAGCUCUAGAUAUUACUUUGUUAAAUAAGUGAAUCAUAUGUCAACAUUUAUCUCUGUAGGAGUGUAAUUUGCAAUUCAAUUGACUUUAAACCUACCCUAUUUUUUUCAAUGUUGCAAUAGUUACAAUAACUAUAUUCUUUUUCACU